UACGAAGGGUGCAAGCGUUACUCGGAAUUACUGGGCGUGAAGCGUGCGUAGGUGGUUUGUUAAGUCUGUUGUGAAAGCCCCGGGCUCAACCUGGGAAUGGCAAUGGAUACUGGCAAGCUAGAGUGCGGUAGAGGGUAGUGGAAUUCCCGGUGUAGCGGUGAAAUGCGUAGAGAUCGGGAGGAACACCAGUGGCGAAGGCGGCUACCUGGACCAGCACUGACACUGAGGCACGAAAGCGUGGGGAGCAAACAGG
rnacentral:rRNA from 1 species